AUAAAAUAAUUAUGUUUUUGGAAAUUUAUUAUAAAUUUAUUUUACAUAUAAAUUUUAGUAUAUAAUUUUAAUUAUUUAAAUAAUAAUUGAUUUAUUUUGGUAGUAAUUAAUAUUAAAAAUUUAAGAAAUUAAGAUUUAGUAAUAUAAAAAUUAAUAACUAAUUUUGUGCCAGCAGUUGCGGUUAAACAAAAGUUAAAUUAAAUUAUUUCAGUAUAUAAUAAAUAAUAAAAUUAUUAAAAUAAAUAUUAAAUUAUUAAGUGAAAUUUUAAUUUAAUUAAAUUUUAUUUAAAAUUUAUGAUUUAAUAAAUUUUAAUAUAAACUAGGAUUAGAUACCCUAUUAUUAAAAAUUUAAUUUAUAAUACUAAAAUAGUAAAUAAUAAUUUAUUGAAACUUAAAUAACAUGGCGGUAUUUUAGUUCAUUUAGAGGAAUCUGUCUAAUAAUUGAUAAUCCACGAAUAAAUUUACUUAAUUUAUAAUUUUGUAUAUCAUUGUUAAAAAAAUAUUUUUUAGGAAAAAUAAUAUUUAAAAAUUAUAAUAAAAAAUUAAAUCAGAUCAAGAUGCAGAAUAUAAUUAAGAAUAUGAUGGAUUACAUUAAAUAUAUUUAUAUGAAUAAUUUUAUUGUAAUAAAAAUUUGAAGGUGGAUUUAAAUGUAAUUUUAAUUAGUUUAUUAAAAUGAUUAAAAAUUAAAAUAUGUACAUAUUGCCCGUCACUUUCAUUUAAAAAUUGAAAUAAGUCGUAACAAAGUAGAGGUACUGGAAAGUGUUUCUAGAAAGA
rnacentral:ncRNA from 2 species